UGCGCCAUCAUCACUUUCGGA
rnacentral:piRNA from 1 species